GACGUAGGAGGCGAGCGUUAUCCGGAAUCACUGGGCGUAAAGGGCAAGUAGGCGGUUGUUCAAGUUGGGCGUGACAGAUCUCGGCUUAACUGAGAGAGGACGUUCAAUACUGAGCGACUAGAGGGCAGGAGAGGAAAGUGGAACUCCCGAUGUAGCGGUGGAAUGCUCAGAUAUCGGGAAGAACACCGGUGGCGAAGGCGGCUUUCUGGCCUGUACCUGACGCUGAGAGGCGAAAGCUAGGGGAGCGAACGGG
rnacentral:rRNA from 1 species